rnacentral:rRNA from 1 species
AAAUCACAAUGCGGGACUAUCAGUCUUGCAAUUGGAUUGAGAACAAUGUACAACUCUUAUCGAUAAGCCAUUGGAGGGCAAGUCUGGUGCCAGCAGCCGCGGUAAUUCCAGCUCCAAUAGCGUAUAUUAACGUUGUUGCAGUUAAAAAGCUCGUAGUUGAAGUGUGGGUGAUCGCUGUUGUGAGACUUCGGUCUCUCGACAGUAAGUCACCCCCUUCCAGUAUCCAGUAGUGGGUAUUCAGUUACUUACUAUUGUGUGUUGGUCGUUUACUGUGAGAAAAUUAGAGUGUUCAAAGCAGGCGUUUGCUUGAAUAGAUUAGCAUGGAAUAAUAAUUGAAGGCUUUCGUGUUCGAUUUGAUUGGUUUGUUCAUGGAAGCAAGGUUAAAAGGAACAGUUGGGGGUAUUCAUAUUCACUAGUUAGAGGUGAAAUUCUCGGAUUUAUGGAAGAUGA